rnacentral:rRNA from 1 species
AUUGAACGCUGGCGGCAGGCCUAACACAUGCAAGUCGAACGAGUGGCGGACGGGUGAGUAAUGUCUGGGAAACUGCCUGAUGGAGGGGGAUAACUACUGGAAACGGUAGCUAAUACCGCAUACCAUCGGAUGUGCCCAGCUGGGAUUAGCUAGUAGGUGGUGUAAAGGCUCACCUAGGCGACGAUCCCUAGCUGGUCUGAGAGGAUGAGCAGACACAAGGGAACUGAAGCACGGUCCAGACGGCUACGGGAGGCAGCAGUGGGGAAUAGUGGACAAUGGGCGAAAGCCUGAUGGAGCCAUGCCGCGUGGAUGAAGAAGGCCGUCGGGUUGGAAAGUAAUUUCGGCAGAGAGGCGUUACCCGAAGAAGAAGCACCGGCUAACUCCGGGCCAGCAGCCGCGGUAAUAC